rnacentral:sRNA from 1 species
UGAAACCUGUGUCUGUGGCCGCGUGCCCAUC